UACUCCUACGGGAGGCAGCAGUGAGGAAUAUUGGUCAAUGGGCGAGAGCCUGAACCAGCCAAGUAGCGUGCAGGAUGACGGCCCUAUGGGUUGUAAACUGCUUUUGUAUGGGGAUAAAGUCAAUCACGUGUGAUUGUUUGCAGGUACCAUACGAAUAAGGACCGGCUAAUUCCGUGCCAGCAGCCGCGGUAAUACGGAAGGUCCAGGCGUUAUCCGGAUUUAUUGGGUUUAAAGGGAGCGUAGGCCGGAGAUUAAGUGUGUUGUGAAAUGUAGACGCUCAACGUCUGACUUGCAGCGCAUACUGGUUUCCUUGAGUACGCACAACGUUGGCGGAAUUCGUCGUGUAGCGGUGAAAUGCUUAGAUAUGACGAAGAACUCCGAUUGCGAAGGCAGCUGACGGGAGCGCAACUGACGCUUAAGCUCGAAGGUGCGGGUAUCGAACAGGAUUAGAUACCCUGGUAGUCCGCACAGUAAACGAUGGAUGCCCGCUGUUGGUACCUGGUAUCAGCGGCUAAGCGAAAGCAUUAAGCAUCCCACCUGGGGAGUACGCCGACAACGGUGAAACUCAAAGGAAUUGACGGA
rnacentral:rRNA from 1 species